rnacentral:rRNA from 1 species
AGCAGUCGCCGCGGUAAUACAGAGGGUGCAAGCGUUAAUCGGAAUUACUGGGCGUAAAGCGCGCGUAGGUGGUUUGUUAAGUUGGAUGUGAAAUCCCCGGGCUCAACCUGGGAACUGCAUCCAAAACUGGCAAGCUAGAGUAUGGUAGAGGGUGGUGGAAUUUCCUGUGUAGCGGUGAAAUGCGUAGAUAUAGGAAGGAACACCAGUGGCGAAGGCGACCACCUGGACUGAUACUGACACUGAGGUGCGAAAGCGUGGGGAGCAAACAGGAUUAGAUACCCCAGUAGUCCCCUGUCUCUUAUA